rnacentral:rRNA from 1 species
AUUGAACGCUGGCGGCAGGCCUAACACAUGCAAGUCGAGCGAGCGGCGGACGGGGGAGUAAUGUAUGGGGACUGCCCGAUAGAGGGGGAUAACUACUGGAAACGGUAGCUAAUACCGCAUACUAUCGGAUAACCCAUAUGGGAUUAGCUCUUCGGUGGGGUAAUGGCUCACAUAGGCGACGAUCCCUAGCUGGUCUGGGAGGAUGAUAAGCCACACUGGGACUGGGACACGGCCCAGACUCCUACGGAGGAAGCAGUGGUGAAUAUUGCACAAGGGGCGCAAGCCUGAGGCAGCCAUGCCGCGGGUAUGAAGAAGGCCCUAGGGUUGUAAAGUACUUUCAGUCGGGAGGCGUUACCGACAGAAGAAGCACCGGCUAACUCCGUGCCAGCAGCCGCGGUAAUUC